UCACGACUCUAAAGCUUAUCUUUGCUGUGUUGUGCAUAAUAACGGGAAAGACCAGCUUUAUAAAAAGCUGAUAAGGGAUUCAAAAAAGAUUCUCUGAGUAAAGUCGCUUCUUAAAUUUUAGUUAUGCAUUGUAUUUUCAUUCGGAAUGAUGAUUGGCGCACAGUGGAUAGCUAUAUGUUCUUUGGUGGUGUUCCAUCAGGGAUCGCCAUAUUUUUGGAGAAAAAUUGUGGAGUCGCUGACUCAUCGGUAAAUCUCUCUCCUUGGCUAGCUAUUAUUCAAAGUAGGAUUAACACUAAGUUCAAUGUACUGGAACACUUAUUAACAAACGAUAUGUUCUGACGACAGCGAGUUGCUUAGUCAACCAACACGAAUUGUUUGUUUGUUUGGGAAAGUGCGACAGAUCCUUGGAAAAUAAUAGUUAUGAAAAAAUCGAUGCUAUAUGGUCCAUGUUCACGAAUCAUAUUUAUCAAGCACUCAUCAAAAUGAUAUAGGUUUGCUUAGGUUACAGACGGAUGUCGAGUACAAGCAACAUAUAAAACCGAUAUGCAUUGUAGUAAAUCCAGAACAGAUUUGGCCUAAAUCAAUAUUGUCUAAGUUGUGGUCCGGGACAAAGUCCAUACCAAAAUCAUUUGACUCGUCAUGUGGGGUUUACCAUGCAGGUCAUUGGCAAUCCUCUGAGCAUACCAUCCAAAUCCCAAAAAGUCCAACACGGAAUCCUAAGCUAUCGAAAUGCUACAACAUAUGCCUUCGUUUACACAAAUGUUUUGGUCUAUGCCGAUUGGAUUGUACCACGCGCUCUAGAUUUUGAUAUUGUAUUAAAUUAUUAAAAAAAAUAUA